rnacentral:rRNA from 1 species
CCAGCCUGCCCAGUGAAAAAUUUAACGGCCGCGGUACCCUAACCGUGCGAAGGUAGCAUAAUCACUUGUUCUUUAAAUGGGGACUUGUAUCAACGGCAUCACGAGGAUCACGCUGUCUCCCUAUUCUAAUCAGUGAAACUAAUCUCCCCGUGAAGAAGCGGGGAUAUAAAUAUAAGACGAGAAGACCCCAUGGAGCUUUAAACUUAGCAACACCUUAACUUUACCACACCCUAAUAUUUGUUUAAGCCCUGUUUGCACGGUUUUAGGUUGGGGUGACCGCGGAGUACAAAAUAACCUCCAUGAAGAAUGGACCCAUUCCUUAUCUAAGAAGCACACUUCUAAGAAUUAGAAAACUAACUUUUAAUGAUCCGAUAAUCGAUCAACGAACCAAGUUACCCUGGGGAUAACAGCGCAAUCCACUUCAAGAGCUCCUAUCGACAAGUGGGUUUACGACCUCGAUGUUGGAUCAGGGUGUCCCAGUGGUGCAGCAGCUACUAAAGGUUCGUUUGUUCAACGAUUAAAACCCU